rnacentral:rRNA from 1 species
GACGAACGCUGGCGGCGUGCCUAAUACAUGCCAGUUGAGCGAUGAAGAUUGGUGCUUGCACCAAUUUGAAGAGCAGCGAACGGGUGAGUAACGCGUGGGGAAUCUGCCUUUGAGCGGGGGGCAACAUUUGGAAACGAAUGCUAAUACCGCAUAACAACUUUAAACAUAAGUUUUAAGUUUGAAAGAUGCAAUUGCAUCACUCAAAGAUGAUCCCGCGUUGUAUUAGCUAGUUGGUGAGGUAAAGGCUCACCAAGGCGAUGAUACAUAGCCGACCUGAGAGGGUGAUCGGCCACAUUGGGACUGAGACACGGCCCAAACUCCUACGGGAGGCAGCAGUAGGGAAUCUUCGGCAAUGGACGAAAGUCUGACCGAGCAACGCCGCGUGAGUGAAGAAGGUUUUCGGAUCGUAAAACUCUGUUGGUAGAGAAGAACGUUGGUGAGAGUGGAAAGCUCAUCAAGUGACGGUAACUACCCAGAAAGGGACGGCUAACUACGUG